rnacentral:rRNA from 1 species
GACGGAGGAUGCAAGCGUUAUCCGGAGUGAUUGGGCGUAAAGCGUCCGCAGGUGGCAGUUCAAGUCUGCUGUCAAAGACCGGGGCUUAACUUCGGAAAGGCAGUGGAAACUGAACAGCUAGAGUAUGGUAGGGGCAGAGGGAAUUCCUGGUGUAGCGGUGAAAUGCGUAGAGAUCAGGAAGAACAUCGGUGGCGAAGGCGCUCUGCUGGACCAUAACUGACACUCAGGGACGAAAGCUAGGGGAGCGAAUGGG